AUUGAACGCUGGCGGCGUGCCUAACACAUGCAAGUCGAGCGGUAACAGGUGUAGCAAUACAUGCUGACGAGCGGCGAACGGGUGAGUAAUGCUUCGGAAUCUACCUUAUGGUGGGGAAUAACUAGCCGAAAGGUUAGCUAAUACCGCAUACGUCCUACGGGAGAAAGCAGGGGAUCGCAAGACCUUGCGCCAAAAGAUGAGCCGAAGUCGGAUUAGCUAGUUGGUAGGGUAACGGCCGACCAAGGCGACGAUCCGUAGCUGGUCUGAGAGGACGAGCAGCCAGACUGGGACUGAGACACGGCCCAGACUCCUACGGGAGGCAGCAGUGGGGAAUAUUGGAUAAUGGGGGAAACCCUGAUCCAGCGACGCCGCGUGUGUGAAGAAGGCCUGCGGGUUGUAAAGCACUUUUAGUGGGGAUGAAAUGUGCAGGGUUAAUACCUCUGCAUUUUGACCUAACCCACAGAAAAAGCACCGGCUAACUCUGUGCCAGCCGCCGCCGUAA
rnacentral:rRNA from 1 species